CGCCUGGCUCCCUGCAUGCCA
rnacentral:miRNA from 1 species